AUUGAACGCUGGCGGCAGGCUUAACACAUGCAAGUCGAGCGGGGUGAGGUGCUUCGGUACUGAUCCUAGCGGCGGACGGGUGAGUAAUGCUUAGGAAUCUGCCUAUUAGUGGGGGACAACAUUCCGAAAGGAAUGCUAAUACCGCAUACGUCCUACGGGAGAAAGCAGGGGAUCUUCGGACCUUGCGCUAAUAGAUGAGCCUAAGUCGGAUUAGCUGGUGGGUGGGGUAAAGGCCUACCAAGGCGACGAUCUGUAGCGGGUCUGAGAGGAUGGUCCGCCACACUGGGACUGAGACACGGCCCAGACUCCUACGGGAGGCAGCAGUGGGGAAUAUUGGACAAUGGGCGGAAGCCUGAUCCAGCCAUGCCGCGUGUGUGAAGAAGGCCUUUUGGUUGUAAAGCACUUUAAGCGAGGAGGAGGCUACCUAGAUUAAUACUCUGGGAUAGUGGACGUUACUCGCAGAAUAAGCACCGGCUAACUCUGUGCCAGCCGCCGCCGUAAAAC
rnacentral:rRNA from 1 species